rnacentral:rRNA from 1 species
UACGAAGGGGGCUAGCGUUGCUCGGAAUCACUGGGCGUAAAGCGCACGUAGGCGGAUUGUUAAGUCAGGGGUGAAAUCCUGGAGCUCAACUCCAGAACUGCCUUUGAUACUGGCGAUCUCGAGUCCGGGAGAGGUGAGUGGAACUGCGAGUGUAGAGGUGAAAUUCGUAGAUAUUCGCAAGAGCACCAGUGGCGAAGGCGGCUCACUGGCCCGGUACUGACGCUGAGGCACGAAGGUCAGGGGAGCAAACGGG